AGGCGAGGGCAAUCUGGCUGCGACAUCUGUCACCCCACUGAGCACCAGGGCUGAUUCCAGUGAUCUGGCUGACUCGGUGGGUGUCGCCUUCUCCCUCAAUGCUCCACAUGCGUCCCUCCCGAAGCUCCCCUGAGUGGAAGAGAAUGAGCGCAACAGAGGAGACCGUCCCUCUGUCAAGGGCACAGAAGCAGCUGUGCUCUCCUGCUAGAACUGCCAGACAUGUAUACUUUUGUCUGUCCCCUUUAAAAAUUUAUCUUCAGGCUUUCUGUGUUACUUUCUGUGUUACUAAGUGUGUCUCUCAUAAAACACAGAUUGUUUGAACUAUAUCUGAGUAUUU
rnacentral:snRNA from 1 species